CCGCAACGAGCGCAACCCUCGUUCUAUGUUGCCAGCACGUGAUGGUGGGGACUCAUAGGAGACUGCCGGGGUCAACUCGGAGGAAGGUGGGGAUGACGUCAAAUCAUCAUGCCCCUUAUGUCUUGGGCUUCACGCAUGCUACAAUGGCCAGUACAAUGGGUUGCGAUACCGUGAGGUGGAGCUAAUCCCAAAAAGCUGGUCUCAGUUCGGAUCGUGGUCUGCAACUCGACCACGUGAAGUCGGAGUCGCUAGUAAUCGCAGAUCAGCAACGCUGCGGUGAAUACGUUCCCGGGCCUUGUACACACCGCCCGUCAAGUCACGAAAGUUGGUAACACCCGAAGCCGGUGGCCUAACCCUUGUGGGGGGAGCCGUCGAAGGUGGGACUGGCGAUUGGGACUAAGUCGUA
rnacentral:rRNA from 1 species